AAUGGUUGAAAAAGCUUAACUACUGGUGAACGAAUGGUUCGCGAAAGAGUAACAACUCAGUAUGAUGCAUUACUUUACAUGAAGGUACACAAAAAGCUUCACUACUGGUAAACAAAUGAUUCAAAAAGCUUCGCUACUGGUAAACGAAUGGUUGAAAAAGCUUAACUACUGGUGAACGAAUGGUUCGCGAAAGAGUAACAACUCAGUAUGAUGCAUUACUUUACAUGAAGGUACACAAAAAGCUUCACUACUGGUGAACGAAUGGUUCAAAAAGCUUAACUACUGGUGAACCAAUGGUUCGCGAAUGAGUAACAACUCAUCAUCAGUCAGAUCCAGCUCCACCAGUCGAUCCAGUGUGGGACCCAAGCCAUCCCUCGACAGCGCUUGAAACCAAGGGCGGCAGGUUUAAAGCGUGCCCCGCAGCAGUGGACAAUUGCUUUUAAGCCAUCAGCAUUACUAAUGCCACAUAAUAAACCUUUAAUGUGA
ensembl:lncRNA